rnacentral:lncRNA from 1 species
CCCCCAGCUGCGUGUCGGCGGCUGCAGAGCGGCGCGGGCGGGCGUUAUGUAACUGGCACAGUGCGGAUCGGGACCGGGUGGCCGUGAGCUCGACCGUCCCAAGGCUCCCCUCCCCGGGAACCCCUGAGAGAAGACUGAAUCCCAGAGGAAUUCGCUGGGACAAACAUGCAUGGGCCCUAGGGCCUCUUGAUACCAUGAUUCACUUCCAGGGCUGGGGUUGUAGCUCAAUGGUCAAGCAUCUGCCUAGCGUGCCCAAGGCCCUGGGCUCCUUCCCCAGCACCAUUUUUAAAAUUUAGAAUUCAGGACUGGGGUAGGGUGUAAUUCAGUGGUAGAACUUUUGUCUAUCAUGUUCAAGGCCCUGAGCUCAAUCUAUAGCAAGGCAAAAACAGAACAGAACAAGGCUGGGCCUGGUGGUGCACACCUCCAAUCCCAGCACUCAGGAGGCUGAGGCAGGAGGAUUGCUGUGAGUUCAAGGCCAGCCUGGGCUACGUAGUGAGUUCAGGAUCAGCCUGAACUACAUAGCAAGACUGUCUCAAACAAACAAAACAGGGCUGGGGAUACAGCUCAGUGGCACAGCAACUGCCUGGCAAGUGCAUGGUCCUGAGUUGGAUUCCCAGAACCAAAAACAAAACCAAACCAACAAAACAAAAACCAAAAAACAAAACCAAAAGGAUUUACUUCUAGAAGAGAGGCAUUCAAGGAUAAUGGCCAGGUGAAGGCCACGGGCAGGAUUCUGAGUAAGAUGUCUCACUUUGAAUCUGCCAGUGCCACUUUGUUUGACGAUGGACAAAUAAUUUUGUCUCUCUGUGCCUGUUUCUGUUUAUUCAAAGGGAAGAACACGAGCUACUUCCUGGCUCUCUGUGAGCAGCCCUUGAGGUGAUGUGAAAGGCACAUAGGGCACUGCUUCAUGGUAGCUGCUGUUCUCAACAAACAUGAAGCCAAGUCGGGCUGCACCAGGCCCUGGGACAUAAAAGCGUGCACACUGGCUAUGGUUCCUGCUGCCUCCAGACUGCUCUGCAGACCGAGUUCUGUGUUGCAGUCCCUCUAACUUCCUUCAGCUCAAGCUCACUUGCUUUUCAUCCCUGAAACCACCUGAGCCCAGCCCUUCCCUCCAAUAAGCCUGCAGCAGAGAGCCAAGAACAGCCAGGAUUCAAGACAGCAGAGAGCCAAGAACAGCUGGCAGGGGAAGCUGGUGGUGAAGCUCUUUGGAAAGUGAUAAAUGAGCUGCUUCCCCACAUGCCUUCUCACGUCUACACUGUAAAAGGAGUGGAAAUUGUCCCUGCAUUCAAGGAGAAACAGGAUGGGGAAAGACUGAAGCUGAUCGUCAUCUUCCCAUCCUGAGAAGUUGUCCAGAGCAGUUGCCCCAGUCGACUUGCUGGUCUCAAAGGAAGAACAGGCAUUUCCACCACAGGCCUUGACCUUUCACAGGGGCUAUAGUUGAUUCUUUAAAGAACUUGUUGGUAGCUUUAGAAAGAAUGUUAUUCAGUGAAGACUUUGUAGCAAACAGUAUUACUGCAUUCUCUCAUCUAAUCCUUCUAAUGCUUGUAGGAUGUAGGAACAAGUUUGAGAGGCUGAAUAAGACUGCCAAGGUGGCACAGGCAUUAGUGGAGUAGGAAUUCCAGUCUCAACCGGCUGACAUAGAGACCAUAGUAAGAGACAGGAGUCUGAGAUUUUCACCCCAGAUCGUUAAGCACCAGACAAGAAGCUUCAAAAUUAUGGGCGAACUUCUGAGCCAGUUUUCUCAGAGAAUCAAAGUUCAGACUCUGUCUCAACCACCUUGCUGGGUUAAAUGGUAGCUUUGAGGCUUUCCAUAAACCAUUUCAUACCUUUCUGGCAUGCUGUAGAAGUACUCAUAGACAGUGUGUUCACUGAACCAUCAUCCAAUAAAUACCCAAUACACAAGAUUCAAAUGUUUG